rnacentral:rRNA from 1 species
ACUCCUACGGGAGGCAGCAGUGGGGAAUUUGGACAAUGGGCGCAAGCCUGAUCCAGCCAUGCCGCGUGAGUGAAGAAGGCCUUGGUUGUAAAGCUCUUUCAGACGGAAAGAAAUCUCUCAGGAUAAUACCUUGGGAGGAUGACGGUACCGUAAGAAGAAGCACCGGCUAACUACGUGCCAGCAGCCGCGGUAAUACGUAGGGUGCGAGCGUUAAUCGGAAUUACUGGGCGUAAAGCGUGCGCAGGCGGUAAUGUAAGACAGAUGUGAAAUCCCCGGGCUCAACCUGGGAACUGCGUUUGUGACUGCAUCACUCGAGUACGGCAGAGGAGGUGGAAUUCCGCGUGUAGCAGUGAAAUGCGUAGAUAUGCGGAGGAACACCGAUGGCGAAGGCAGCCUCCUGGGCCAGUACUGACGCUCAUGCACGAAAGCGUGGGAGCAAACAGGAUUAGAUACCCCUGGUAGACUGUCA